rnacentral:rRNA from 1 species
GAUGAACGCUGGCGGCGUGCCUAAUACAUGCAAGUCGAGCGAACGGACGAGGAGCUUGCUUCUCUGAUGUUAGCGGCGGACGGGCGAGUAACACGUGGAUAACCUACCUAUAAGACUGGGAUAACUUCGGGAAACCGCAGCUAAUACCGGAUAAUAUUUUGAACCGCAUGGUUCAAAAGUGAAAGACGGUCUUGCUGUCACUUAUAGAUGGAUCCGCGCUGCAUUAGCUAGUUGGUAAGGUAACGGCUUACCAAGGCAACGAUGCAUAGCCGACCUGAGAGGGUGAUCGGCCACACUGGAACUGAGACACGGUCCAGACUCCUACGGGAGGCAGCAGUAGGGAAUCUUCCGCAAUGGGCGAAAGCCUGACGGAGCAACGCCGCGUGAGUGAUGAAGGUCUUCGGAUCGUAAAACUCUGUUAUUAGGGAAGAACAUAUGUGUAAGUAACUGUGCACAUCUUGACGGUACCUAAUCAGAAAGCCACGGCUAACUACGUG